rnacentral:rRNA from 1 species
UACGUAGGGUGCAAGCAUUAAUCGGAUUUAUUGGGCGUAAAGGGCGCGUAGGCGGGGAGGAAAGUUAAAUGUGAAAUCCUGGGGCUCAACUCCAGAACCGCAUUUAAAACUUCCUUUCUAGAGGAUGAGCGGAGAAAAUGGAAUUCCACGUGUAGCGGUGAAAUGCGUAGAUAUGUGGAGGAACACCGGUGGCGAAGGCGAUUUUCUAGCUUAGACCUGACGCUGAGGCGCGAAAGCAAGGGUAGCAAACAGG